UUUAAAAGUCAGAUGGAAAAAAGCAACUGAAGUCCUAGAAAAUAGAAAUGUAAUUUUAAACUAUCCAAUAAAGCUGGAGGAGGAAGAGAGGAAAAAACAAAACAAGAU